rnacentral:rRNA from 1 species
CACCGCCCGUCACACCACGAAAGCCGGCUGUACCAGAAGUCGCUGCGCUAACCGCAAGGAUGCAGGUGCCGAAGGUAUGGUCGGUGAUUGGGGUG